GGAUGAGCCCGCGGCCUAUCAGCUUGUUGGUGGGGUAAUGGCCUACCAAGGCGACGACGGGUAGCCGGCCUGAGAGGGUGACCGGCCACACUGGGACUGAGAUACGGCCCAGACUCCUACGGGAGGCAGCAGUGGGGAAUAUUGCACAAUGGGCGCAAGCCUGAUGCAGCGACGCCGCGUGAGGGAUGACGGCCUUCGGGUUGUAAACCUCUUUCAGCACAGACGAAGCGCAAGUGACGGUAUGUGCAGAAGAAGGACCGGCCAACUACGUGACAGCAGCCGCGGCCG
rnacentral:rRNA from 1 species